CUUGGCACACAGCAGGUCUAAGGCACCGAGGCAGGAGCGUCCCCCGCGGCCUCGCUCCCUGCUCUCUGGGCCCCACCGCUACCGCCUGGAGUCUCCCCUCAGCCUCGCAGAGACGCGACUCGGUUGGGGGAAGGGGACUAGAACCGUCGCAGUCCUGACCGCGGCCGCCGCCGCCGUUCUAUCUGAUCUCCAGGAGCGCCGGCUCCAGACUGCCUGGAGCGCUGAAAGAGUUAAUCAGGAACGCCUCCCCGCUGUGGUUUUGUGGUCGAAACCAUGAUUGCCAGGAGCAAAUUUUUGUCGUGCACGAGGUGUGUUAUUAAAAGUCGGAGCUACGCUGCUGCUGAAUGAAAAGUUAAAAGCCCUCUUUGAGUUCGGGCUAUAAAACUGGCGGACUGGGCCGAGAGGCUUGAGCCAACCCUAACGGCGGCGGCCCGGGCGGCGCGGGGGUCCUGCGGCUCCGCCAGCUGCUGGGAGCGGGCGGGCCGCGCAGUCCCAGCAGUGAGUGGCCGCAGCCAGGCGGUCGGCAGAGCUCCCACUGAACCACCGGAGGAGUGAAGAGGGAAAACGGGGCUGAAACCCAAAUGGGAUCAUCCAGCUUUCUCUUACGUUAGAACAAAAAUGACAGCCAACAUUUAUGGAGCGCUGACUCCGCAUCUGACAUUGUGUCGAGUGCUUGAUAAAUACACGCUCUUCUUUAAACCCUCCCAACAAACUAAUGCGGGAUGGGAGUGUAAAUGCAGUUUUGCCGAAGAGGGGACCCAGACUUGGUUCAGGCUUGCCCAAGGUCUCACGGAAGCACUGGGAUCUUAACCGGGUCUUAGCCGAGCAGCCAUAGGCCACCCCGCUUCCUCUGUGCUUAGCCUCUGAAAAGAAGACAGAGGAGAUGUGCCAAACUGUUGAGAGUGGUUAUUUCUGAGCAGAAGAAUGUGGAUGAAUUCCAUUCUUCCUAUUUUUCUGAAAGGGCACCUAGAUAAUUUACAUGCAACUGAAAGUGUCUGCUGCAGCCUGACCACCGUCAACUUGCCCACCUGGGUCCUGACAAUGAAGCUGGUAGUGCGUGUUCCUCUUAAGUGGAAAUCUCCAAGCAUCAGGAUGAUUCUGCCAGCUAGGAAGAGAUAUCCCGAUUCAUAGGCUGGAGAAAGGCUGUGAAUUGUGCAGUUUGCUGGGGACUACCCCACAAAGUAUUAGUAAUAAUAAUAAAAGCAGUUCACAUUGUUA